GUCCAAGGAAGAGGAGCAGGUAUUUGUUCGUUUUAUUAAUGCAAUGAUAGUUUUGGAUUGUUCUUAUUAUGUGUUUUGGCAAAUUGAGUUGGAUGAGCUAAAUAUUGAUUUAAGCUGCUAGGACAAACUAAUGUGUUCUGCAUUCUUCAUUUUGCUGUUUCACCAUUAAGGUGCUUUAUAUAGCUGAUUAUUGUAAUUUGGCAGCAUAUGAGGUUUGGACUUGAUAGUCCCACGAUAUUUAGUUUGACAUGUUAUGACCACACCACAAAUUAUCGUCUUUACUUUUGCACAUGACUAAUAUGCUUUAGUAUCUAUUUUUUCAGUUAAUGGAAGCAAGGAUAAACGCAUAUUUGUAAAUGCUUCUCUGUUCAUUAUUUAAUUAGUUGCUGUACUAUUUUGCUUUAAAUUUAUCUGUUUUAUAUUAUGACAAAU
rnacentral:misc_RNA from 1 species